GACGAACCGUGCGAACGUUAUUCGGAAUCACUGGGCUUAAAGGGCGCGUAGGCGGGCGACCAAGUCAGGGGUGAAAUCGUUCGGCCCAACCGGACAAGGGCCCCUGAUACUGGUUGUCUCGAGGGAGGUAGGGGUCGAUGGAACUUCCGGUGGAGCGGUGAAAUGCGUAGAUAUCGGAAGGAACGCCGGUGGCGAAAGCGAUCGACUGGACCUCUUCUGACGCUGAGGCGCGAAGGCCAGGGGAGCAAACGGG
rnacentral:rRNA from 1 species